rnacentral:lncRNA from 1 species
GAUUUUUCUCCCUGUCACUUCUUUCUCUUGACGGAGGUUGUCACAGAGGCAGGAGCUGGAGAGGACUAGGAAGAUCUUCUCUGCAUUGCCACACUCUCCCUAACCUUGCUAGGAGUUAACACUGGGCCCCCCACUCCCAGUCAUCUCAACCAAGAUCAUCAAGCUUCUUGGAAAUCUCAGGAGACUGAAAUUCUUGCUUAGCAUCCUUAUAUUGCCAUGAUUCUCUUUCUGACUAAAGAUCUCAACCUUGAUGUCUAUUUACACAAAAACAAAUCUAAGGUAGCAGCAAGAUAAGCAUGGAUGGGGAAGAUGCUAGCAACUGUGACAACCAGGACCAAAGAUGGAAAUUGCCUGGCCAAAUCCUCCAUGCAGAGCUUGAGUCCUGGAAAUUUCAGGCAUCCCUAAGGGGGCAGUCUACUUUCUUUGGGAACCAAGAGCCACAAUCACAUUUGCUGAGGUAAAGCAAGGGAAGACCUCAGUGCUCAUGUUAGAGCCGUGAUCUUCAGAAAAUUUGGCUGUAAAGUGGUGUCCAACUUUCUGUCAACCUGAACAGUGCAACCGACUUCCUAAAUUUUGGAGCAGGAAGAGAUGUAAGAGACUAUCUAGUAUCCAACCUAUUCAUUUUAUAAAUAGGAAAACUGAGUCCAAGAGAAUGGAAGUGGUUUGCCUAGAGUCACACAGAUAAGUGGAACAGCUGGAAUUCAAAUGAAGAAUGUAAAUCUUCUUCCACAAAAUAUGACAUUAUUUUCAUUGCACAAUAAUCUCUCAUUUUGAGUUGAUUGCAUUAGAUUAAGUAGUUAACUAGUCUUAACUUCAAUGUAGUAUAGUUAAAAUACUGCUAACAACAAUGCUUUAAAGUUUGCACAGCACUGUAUAUGUUAUCUCAUUUGAACUUCAGAGAAACCUGGUAAGAUAGUUUCCAUAGGCAUCCCUCCUCGUUUUAAAGUUGAGGAAACUCAAGAGGAUUCUGGGAAGAUGGCAGCAUAAGUCAGAAAACUUUUGGCUCUCCAAAUUUCCUCCACAGAAAAAGACAGAUCAUUGCCUCAGAGAGAAUGUAGAAAAGCAGAAAUAAACGAAAGUCAUGGUAAGGCA